CUUUAUGGCAGCUGUACGUGGGAGAUCUUCGGGUCUGCCGGUGUUCCUUGUUCUACCGGUUCGCCAACCCGCGUACAGCGGCCACCUGU
rnacentral:antisense_RNA from 1 species